rnacentral:misc_RNA from 1 species
UACGAGUGGAAACACAGGCAUUGGGCUUGCCUUCAUUGCUGCUUCCAGAGGAUAUAAGCUCAUCUUAACGAUGCCUGCGUCAAUGAGUCUUGAAAGAAGGGUCAUUCUAAAAGCUUUUGGAGCUGAACUUGUUUUAACUGAUCCAGCCAAAGGGAUGAAAGGAGCUGUUUCAAAGGCUGAAGAAAUAUUGAAUAACACACCAGAUGCCUAUAUCCUUCAACAAUUUGACAAUCCCGCCAACCCCAAGAUACACUAUGAAACAACGGGUCCAGAGAUCUGGGAAGACACAAAAGGCAAGAUUGACAUACUUGUUGCUGGCAUUGGAACUGGCGGAACCAUUACAGGAACAGGCCGAUUCCUUAAAGAGCAAAAUCCAAACAUUAAGAUUAUUGGUGUGGAGCCCACAGAAAGUAACGUUCUAUCUGGGGGCAAACCUGGCCCUCACAAAAUUCAAGGGAUUGGAGCAGGUUUUAUUCCAGGAAACUUGGAUCAAGAUGUAAUGGAUGAAGUGAUAGAGAUAUCGAGUGACGAAGCUGUUGAAACUGCGAAGCAAUUAGCCCUACAAGAAGGGUUGUUGGUUGGGAUUUCUUCCGGAGCAGCUGCUCUUGCUGCCAUUCAAGUUGGAAAGAGACCUGAGAAUGCAGGAAAGCUUAUUGGGGUUGUAUUUCCAAGCUAUGGGGAACGAUACCUCUCCUCUAUUCUUUUCCAGUCAAUAAGAGAGGAAUGCGAGAACAUGAAGCCAGAAUUGUGAAGAUCUUCUGAUUCUUAAUAAAAUGCUAUCUGGCUUAUCUAGCUGCCACACUUUUGCUUGUUAUAUUUAGUUGGCUGCUGGUGUAUACAAUAGAUCAGGUAUUAAGAUUGUUCUCUUAACAACAAUCUCAUCGAUUCGGCUUGACGUUUUUUAUUCAUUUGAAUUGAUCAUGAAAUUUGAGUGAAAUUUCAUCGCUGUUUGAAUCUUUCAAUUUCGUUUUUGGUUUUACCUCUGUGAAGAUGAAGAUGUACUUUGCUACCUGGACAUUGAAGUUGGAAUCCUCUUUAGACCAUGUUCUUUA